rnacentral:lncRNA from 1 species
GAUCUGUCGUGCAACUGUUGAAACAAAUUGUUGACUACAUUGACCAUAAUUCAAUUUAAAAUCUUGCCAAUGAUGUACAGUUUUAUGGGUAAAAUUGCUGUGGUUGGUUGCAUUACAUGACACACAAAACUGUCCUCUACCUCACGUGAAAUAAGUAUUUUAUAUGGUUUUACUAUAAAACAAGACUCAUCUAUCUGGUCACUUAGUUUACAAAUUUUGAAUUAUAUUUAUUGAAACAUGACAUACUGUGCUCUUAGCUUAUACCUCAAUUGUAUUUUGUGCUGUUUUCCAUUUUCAUGCCUUGUAAAUAACUUGUAUAGAUUGUGGAUCAAAUUCCAAAUAAAAACUUUUAAUGCCAGUGAAAUUG